GGUUGACCUCGGAUCAGGUAGGGAUACCCGCUGAACUUAAGCAUAUCAAUAAGCGGAGGAAAAGAAACCAACAGGGAUUGCCUCAGUAACGGCGAGUGAAGCGGCAAGAGCUCAAAUUUGAAAGCUGGCCCCUUCGGGGUCCGCGUUGUAAUUUGCAGAGGAUGCUUCGGGUGCAGCCCCCGUCUAAGUGCCCUGGAACGGGCCGUCAUAGAGGGUGAGAAUCCCGUCUGGGACGGGGUGUCUGCGUCCGUGUGAAGCUCCUUCGAAGAGUCGAGUUGUUUGGGAAUGCAGCUCUAAAUGGGUGGUAAAUUUCAUCUAAAGCUAAAUACUGGCCGGAGACCGAUAGCGCACAAGUAGAGUGAUCGAAAGAUGAAAAGCACUUUGAAAAGAGAGUUAAACAGCACGUGAAAUUGUUGAAAGGGAAGCGUUUGCGACCAGACUCGCUCGCGGGGUUCAGCCGGCAUUCGUGCCGGUGUACUUCCCCGUGGGCGGGCCAGCGUCGGUUUGGGCGGCCGGUCAAAGGCCCUCGGAAUGUAUCACCUCUCGGGGUUGUCUUAUAGCCGAGGGUGCAAUGCGGCCUGCCCGGACCGAGGAACGCGCUUCGGCUCGGACGCUGGCGUAAUGGUCGUAAAUGACC
rnacentral:rRNA from 1 species